AAAAUGACUCUCGGCAACGGAUAUCUCGGCUCUCGCAUCGAUGAAGAACGUAGCGAAAUGCGAUACUUGGUGUGAAUUGCAGAAUCCCGUGAACCAUCGAGUCUUUGAACGCAAGUUGCGCCCAAAGCCUUCUGGUUGAGGGCACGUCUGCCUGGGUGUCACAC
rnacentral:rRNA from 3 species